rnacentral:misc_RNA from 1 species
UCCUGGUUUCCCAGGCAGUCCCAUCAGAGUGCCCCUUAAAAAGGGUUGCAACUGACGGCAGGGGUUGCGCUCGUUAUAGGACUUAACCCAACAUCUCACGACACGAGCUGACGACAGCCAUGCAGCACCUGUGCAUAUGUUCAAGGUUACCCUUGAAAAACUACAUCUCUGCAGCGAUCAUAUGCAUGUCAAACCUAGGUAAGGUUCCUCGCGUAGUGUCGAAUUAAACCACAUGUUCCACCGCUUGUGCGGACCCCCGUCAAUUCCUUUGAGUUUUAAUCUUGCGACCGUACUCCCCAGGCGGAUCACUUAACGCGUUAGCUACGACACUAAUCUCGCAGAGCGAGACUAACGUCUAGUGAUCAUCGUUUACAGCGUGGACUAC